rnacentral:rRNA from 1 species
UACGGAGGGUGCGAGCGUUGUCCGGAAUCACUGGGCGUAAAGGGCGCGUAGGCGGCGCGGGUAGUCAUCGGUGAAAGUUCAGGGCUCAACUCUGAAUCGGCCGGUGAUACUCCCGUGCUCGAGCACUGUAGAGGCAGGUGGAAUUCCGGGUGUAGCGGUGGAAUGCGUAGAGAUCCGGAAGAACACCGGUGGCGAAGGCGGCCUGCUGGGCAGUUGCUGACACUGAGGCGCGACAGCGUGGGGAGCAAACAGG